rnacentral:rRNA from 1 species
UGGGGAAUAUUGGGCAAUGGGGGAAACCCUGACCCAGCAACGCCGCGUGAAGGAAGAAGGCUUUCGGGUUGUAAACUUCUUUUACCAGGGACGAAAGGACGUGACGGUACCUGGAGAAAAAGCAACGGCUAACUACGUGCCAGCAGCCGCGGUAAUACGUAGGUUGCAAGCGUUGUCCGGAUUUACUGGGUGUAAAGGGCGUGUAGGCGGAGAAGCAAGUUGGGAGUGAAAUCCAUGGGCUCAACCCAUGAACUGCUCUCAAAACUGUUUCCCUUGAGUAUCGGAGAGGCAAGCGGAAUUCCUAGUGUAGCGGUGAAAUGCGUAGAUAUUAGGAGGAACACCAGUGGCGAAGGCGGCUUGCUGGACGACAACUGACGCUGAGGCGCGAAAGCGUGGGGAGCAAACAGGAUUAGAUACC